CCUACGGGGGGCAGCAGUGGGGAAUCUUAGACAAUGGGGGAAACCCUGAUCUAGCGAUGCCGCGUGUGUGACGAAGGCCUUAGGGUCGUAAAGCACUUUCGCCAAGGAUGAUAAUGACAGUACUUGGUAAAGAAACCCCGGCUAACUCCGUGCCAGCAGCCGCGGUAAUACGGAGGGGGUUAGCGUUGUUCGGAAUUACUGGGCGUAAAGCGCACGUAGGCGGACUUUUAAGUUAGAGGUGAAAUCCCAGGGCUCAACCCUGGAACUGCCUUUAAUACUGGAAGUCUUGAGUUCGAGAGAGGUAAGUGGAAUUCCAAGUGUAGAGGUGAAAUUCGUAGAUAUUUGGAGGAACACCAGUGGCGAAGGCGGCUUACUGGCUCGAUACUGACGCUGAGGUGCGAAAGCGUGGGGAGCAAACAGGAUUAGAUACCCCAGUAGUC
rnacentral:rRNA from 1 species